rnacentral:misc_RNA from 1 species
UUCUCGGGCCUUGUACACACCGCCCGUCACACCAUGGGAGUUGGUUUUGCCUGAAGACGGUGUGCUAACCGCAAGGAGGCAGCCGGCCACGGUAGGGUCAGCGACUGGGGUGAAGUCGUAACAAGGUAGCCGUAGGGGAACCUGCGGCUGGAUCACCUCCUUUCUAAGGAAGAUGUUGAGUAUCAUUGAAUUUAUUGAGUGAUCUGAACGUUUUUUGAAGAUUAAAGCUUUUAAUUAAGCUUGAUAUAAAUUUGCUGUUGUGAAGCAGCGUUUUUAAAAGGAUCGCCGUCCAUGUUUCUCUUUCUUUUCGGAUUUUUUGCGAUGAUGGGGGGUCGUUAAUAUUUG